rnacentral:lncRNA from 1 species
UGAAAAGAUUGCACAGGUUGUAAACUGAUUCAGUAUCAUCUUCCUAGGAAUUUAUUUUUAAGAGUAGCAUUGAUUAAACUCAACUGAUUUGCAGAAGUGUUUCAUUAGAAUCUUGGUUCCAUAAUAAUUGCAGUUUCCUUUGAUAUCGGACUCUCAUUUAUCAUUAGGUUCAGUGUCCCAGCCUACAUAAAUGCCACCCUUCAACAACCAGAAAUACUUUCCAGGAAUCUAUCAUGGCUCAAUAUGUCAGUUAAAAAAUUCUCCUCAUGUAGGAGUUAAAUGAUGUUUUAAAGCAAAACUGACAGAAUAACAUCAAGAGAAAGAAAAAAAAUCUUUCUUGUAAAACCAAAAGAAUCACCUCCAAUUCUACUUGAUCUACACAUUUUGGAGAUUAUUCUGGUACUUCUUCUUUUUUUUUCUUUUGCACUUGCAAGGCAGCUGGUGGAACCACUGAGCUAAAUCCCUGGCCCUCUCCCGGUUCUUCUUUAUACUACACGCUAACUAUGCAUUUUGGAGACAGUUGCAAAGUGAAAGGAAGAGGACUCUUCGGUAACAUUGCCGAAUCUCUAGAAGUGGGACAGCACCCUUCAAGCAAGCAC